ensembl:lncRNA
CCGUAGAACAGAUAUAUAUGGGAUAUAAGCCUGUCCCCGUUAGACCAGGGCCCGUAGAUCAGAUAUAUAUGGGAUAUCAGCCUGUCCCCAUUAGACCAGGGCCCGUAUAUCAGAUAUAUAUGGGAUAUAACCCUGUCCCUGUUAGACCAGGGUCCGUAGAUCAGAUAUAUAUGCUAUAUCAGCCUGUCCCUGUUAGACCAGAGCCCUUAGGUCAGAUAUAUAUGGGAUAUCAGCCUGUCCCUGUUAGACCAGGGCACUUACAUCAGAUAUAUAUGGGAUAUCAGCCUGUCCCCAUUAGACCAGGGGCCAUAGAUCAGAUAUAUAUGGGAUAUCAGCCUGUACCUGUUCGACCAGGGCCCGUAGAUCAGAUAUAUAUGGGAUAUCAGCCUGUCCCUGUUCGACCAGGGCCCGUAGAUCAGAUAUAUAUGGGAUAUCAGCCUGUCCCCAUUAGACCAGGGCCCGUAUAUCAG